CAUUAGAUGACUGAAAUAGCAAGUAUUGGUCUUUUAAGCCAUCCCAUAGUAAAUUAGCAAUUACUUCUAAUGA
rnacentral:tRNA from 1 species